CCUACGGGUGGCAGCAGUGGGGGAUAUUGCACAAUGGGGGGAACCCUGAUGCAGCGACGCCGCGUGGGUGAAGGAGGGCUUCGGCAUGUAAAGCCUUAUCGGCAGGGAAGAAGCAAGACGGUACCUGACUAAGAAGCACCGGCUAACUGGGUGCCAGCAGCCUAGGUAAUACGCAGGGGGCGAGCGUUAUCCGGAUUCACUGGGUGUAAAGGGAGCGUAGACGGCAAUGCAGGCCAGUGGUGAAAGACUGGGGCACAACCCCGAGUUUGCCGUUGGACCUGCAUGGCUGUGGUGCAGGAGGGGCAGGCGGAAUUCCUGGUGUAGCGGUGAAAUGCGUAGAUAUCAGGAGGAACACCGGUGGCGAAGGCGGCCUGCUGGACCGCGACUGACGUUGAGGCUCGAAAGCGUGGGGAGCGAACAGGAUUAGAUACCCUUGUAGUC
rnacentral:rRNA from 1 species